GAUAUUGACGCCGUUGCCUUAUGUUGUCGAUAACAUAAUUAUAUCGAUUUGCCGGUAAACGACUGAUAAUCUGUAAUCAAUGUUAGAAGAGGUUGGCAAUACUGUCGUUUUACGUCCGUUAACGAAAAAAUGGUGGGAAAAUUGUCAUUUUGCAAGUAGAUAGCAUAAAAGUUGUGUUCUAAAUUAUUUUAACUGGAAAAACGCUUUUGCAAUGGCUGUUCACGAAAAAAUUCAAGAAAAUGGAAUGAGUGAAAUCAAGUUUUGGAUCAAAAACAUCAAUUUUCAUCAUUUGGAAAGCUGUUAUGUUAAGUUACUGUGGUUAUUGUGGUGCAGUUCUACUCAUCUUAAGUGUGAGUAAUGAAGCUAUUUGUAUUUGGCUAAUGGCUAGACCUCCAAUUCCAUUCAUUGAGCAUUCGAUCAGUUAAAACUUUCAUAUGGCGUCAAAUUCAAUGUUAAAAUGUCAAAUUCAAUUCAAAAACAAUAAAAAAAUUCAAAUUCGUAAAGUUUCGAACUUGGUCGACUUGUAUGUAUAAUAUCUGCUGGAAUGUCAAGUUCGUCUAAAGCGUAUCAAGCAAUUUGAGGCGUGUGUACUUUACAGAUCGGAGAGCGUAAAGUAAUUUUAAAUGCACAUCGACAUUAAAUAUCUGCUGGAAUUUCAAGUUCGUCUAAAGCGUUUCAAGCAAUUUGAGGCGUGUGUUCUUGGACGUGUGUACUUUACAGAUCAGAUAGCGUGAAAAGUUAUUUUAAUGCACAUCGACAUUAAAGGUGAGUAUUAAAUCUUUCAAUAGAAAAUAGAAGCAAAUUAUAAACACCCAUUUUAAAAAUGUUAAAAACUAUUGCAAGAAGUAUUGAAUAGAUGGUUGACAUAAGG